rnacentral:rRNA from 1 species
GGAUGAACGCUAGCUACAGGCUUAACACAUGCAAGUCGAGGGGCAGCAUGGUCUUAGCUUGCUAAGGCCGAUGGCGACCGGCGCACGGGUGAGUAACACGUAUCCAACCUGCCGUCUACUCUUGGACAGCCUUCUGAAAGGAAGAUUAAUACAAGAUGGCAUCAUGAGUCCGCAUGUUCACAUGAUUAAAGGUAUUCCGGUAGACGAUGGGGAUGCGUUCCAUUAGAUAGUAGGCGGGGUAACGGCCCACCUAGUCUUCGAUGGAUAGGGGUUCUGAGAGGAAGGUCCCCCACAUUGGAACUGAGACACGGUCCAAACUCCUACGGGAGGCAGCAGUGAGGAAUAUUGGUCAAUGGGCGAGAGCCUGAACCAGCCAAGUAGCGUGAAGGAUGACUGCCCUAUGGGUUGUAAACUUCUUUUAUAAAGGAAUAAAGUCGGGUAUGCAUACCCGUUUGCAUGUACUUUAUGAAUAAGGAUCGGCUAACUCCGUGCCAGCAGCCGCGGUAAUACGGAGGAUCCGAGCGUUAUCCGGAUUUAUUGGGUUUAAAGGGAGCGUAGAUGGAUGUUUAAGUCAGUUGUGAAAGUUUGCGGCUCAACCGUAAAAUUGCAGUUGAUACUGGAUAUCUUGAGUGCAGUUGAGGCAGGCGGAAUUCGUGGUGUAGCGGUGAAAUGCUUAGAUAUCACGAAGAACUCCGAUUGCGAAGGCAGCCUGCUAAGCUGCAACUGACAUUGAGGCUCGAAAGUGUGGGUAUCAAACAGGAUUAGAUACCCUGGUAGUCCACACGGUAAACGAUGAAUACUCGCUGUUUGCGAUAUACAGCAAGCGGCCAAGCGAAAGCGUUAAGUAUUCCACCUGGGGAGUACGCCGGCAACGGUGAAACUCAAAGGAAUUGACGGGGGCCCGCACAAGCGGAGGAACAUGUGGUUUAAUUCGAUGAUACGCGAGGAACCUUACCCGGGCUUAAAUUGCAGAUGAAUUACGGUGAAAGCCGUAAGCCGCAAGGCAUCUGUGAAGGUGCUGCAUGGUUGUCGUCAGCUCGUGCCGUGAGGUGUCGGCUUAAGUGCCAUAACGAGCGCAACCCUUGUUGUCAGUUACUAACAGGUUCCGCUGAGGACUCUGACAAGACUGCCAUCGUAAGAUGUGAGGAAGGUGGGGAUGACGUCAAAUCAGCACGGCCCUUACGUCCGGGGCUACACACGUGUUACAAUGGGGGGUACAGAGGGCCGCUACCACGCGAGUGGAUGCCAAUCCCAAAAACCUCUCUCAGUUCGGACUGGAGUCUGCAACCCGACUCCACGAAGCUGGAUUCGCUAGUAAUCGCGCAUCAGCCACGGCGCGGUGAAUACGUUCCCGGGCCUUGUACACACCGCCCGUCAAGCCAUGGGAGCCGGGGGUACCUGAAGUGCGUAACCGCGAGGAGCGCCCUAGGGUAAAACUGGU